AGCGAACGCUGGCGGCAGGCCUAACACAUGCAAGUCGAACGAAGUCUUCGGACUUAGUGGCGGACGGGUGAGUAACACGUGGGAACGUGCCUUUAGGUUCGGAAUAACUCAGGGAAACUUGUGCUAAUACCGAAUGUGCCCUUCGGGGGAAAGAUUUAUCGCCUUUAGAGCGGCCCGCGGCUGAUUAGCUAGUUGGUGAGGUAAAGGCUCACCAAGGCUACGAUCAGUAGCUGGUCUGAGAGGAUGACCAGCCACAUUGGGACUGAGACACGGCCCAAACUCCUACGGGAGGCAGCAGUGGGGAAUCUUGCGCAAUGGGCGAAAGCCUGACGCAGCCAUGCCGCGUGGAUGAUGAAGGUCUCAGGAUUGUAAAAUCCUUUCACCGGUGAAGAUAAUGACUGUAGCCGGAGAAGAAGCCCCGGCUAACUUCGUGCCAGCAGCCGCGGUAAGAC
rnacentral:rRNA from 1 species